rnacentral:rRNA from 1 species
GACGAACGCUGGCGGCGCGCUUAACACAUGCAAGUCGAACGAUGAAGCCUAGCUUGCUAGGUGGAUUAGUGGCGAACGGGUGAGUAAUACGUGAGUAACCUACCUUUAACUCUGGGAUAAGCCUGGGAAACUGGGUCUAAUACCGGAUACGACCAAUCUCCGCAUGGGGUGUUGGUGGAAAGCGUUAUGUAGUGGUUAUAGAUGGGCUCACGGCCUAUCAGCUUGUUGGUGAGGUAACGGCUCACCAAGGCGACGACGGGUAGCCGGCCUGAGAGGGUGACCGGCCACACUGGGACUGAGACACGGCCCAGACUCCUACGGGAGGCAGCAGUGGGGAAUAUUGCACAAUGGGCGCAAGCCUGAUGCAGCGACGCCGCGUGAGGGAUGACGGCCUUCGGGUUGUAAACCUCUGUUAGCAGGGAAGAAGAGAAAUUGACGGUACCUGCAGAGAAAGCGCCGGCUAACUACGUG